GUGCUUAGCGUGCUUUCAUACAUGUGGACUUAAAUAACUUUUUAAAAAGGUGUGUUGUUAAUCCUCCUUGUGUUUCUUCCGGUUUCUGCAUACGUCAUUUCCAUCGGGAGCACUUCCGGGUCAGCGGUCAAUGCCUGUCUCCAUAAGGUGACGUGUUUCCGGUUUUGGAAAUGUACGUGAUCUUCAGAAAUAAGUUCUUAAUGUGCAUGUGCGCCUCAAAUAUAAACAAAUGUCCGUAUUUAUAUAUAAACUUAAUAAACUUUUUCUUUAUAUUUUUGUGUUUACUGAAUUUAUUAAAAAG